UGUCCGCCCGGGUACUACGAGCCUUAGCUUAAAACCCAAAGGACUUGGCGGUGCUUAAGAUCCCCCUAGAGGAGCCUGUUCUAGAACCGAUAACCCCCGUUAAACCUCACCUCUCCUUGCCCAUACCGCCUAUAUACCGCCGUCGUCCGCCUACCCUGUGAAGGUCUAAUAGUAAGCACAACUGGCACAGCCUAAAACGUCAGGUCGAGGUGUAGCAUAUGGAGGGGGAAGAAAUGGGCUACAUUCUCUGCAUAAGAGUAUACGGAAGAAAGGCUGAAAAGCCUUUCAAAAGGAGGAUUUAGUAGUAAGGGCUGAAUAGAGCGCACCCCUGAAACUGGCCCUAAAGCGCGUACACACCGCCCGUCACCCUCUGCAGUCAA
rnacentral:rRNA from 1 species